CCAGUUUUGCUUGGGUGACACGAAGGAGGGGAGGGAAUGGGGAAGAAGAGGAGAGACAUCGGGGAGAAGGAAUGGGGGCAGCCCUGCACGGUGGCCGGGGCGCCAGGGGUCUCCUUUCGUUUUCUCAAAGAGAAUUUUCACGCAGAGCCUCGCUAUCCCGGCUGGGAAGCCCAGUCGCUCACAAGCCAAUGUUGAAGCAGCGCAGGCGCAAGGCGCUGCUGCCACGAACACGGUCACCACCUCGGAACUGAGCACUGUUGAGGAGCCUGCCCUGGAGAAGCCUCUGCCCGGUGCUUGGAGACGUGCCCCUCUGGCCUCUGCCUGGACCUUGGAGGGCACCGGCCGCUGAGGCUCAGACCUUGCACUGGGCUCCAGGAGGGACCCCGGCUCAGCGUCAGCCCUGGCUAGAAGCGAGGGACCAAGGACCCAGCCGGAACCACCAGGACCCGAUGACGGCUCAAGCCACCCAAGGCACAAAGGCGCCACAAGCCACUGUUCCAUAAACCAAAGCCAAACGAGCUCCCCUCCAAGGACCCCCGAGGAGCCCAGACUGCAAGGAGCGGCUGUGCCCACACCUGAGCGACCCAGGGACCGACACCCGGAGCGGAGCAGACCAGACCCCCUGAAUCACAGAUGCCCACGGUGUGACUCUGAAUACACC